rnacentral:tRNA from 1 species
GCCUCAAUGGUCUAGUAGUAUGAUUCGCCCUUCGGGUGGGCGAGGUCCCGGGUUCAACUCCCGGUUGGGGCC